rnacentral:rRNA from 1 species
ACGAACGGCUGGCGGCGUGCCUAAUACAUGCAAGUCGAACGGUCUUUCUAUGGAAGCUUGCUUCCACUGAGAAGAUAGUGGCGAACGGGUGAGUAACACGUGGGUAACCUGCCCAUAAGAGGGGGGAUAACAUCCGGAAACGGGUGCUAAUACCGCAUAGUUUUCUUGAUCGCAUGAUUGAGAAAGGAAAGACGGCCUUUGUGCUGUCGCUUAUGGAUGGACCCGCGGCGUAUUAGUUAGUUGGUGAGGUAACGGCUCACCAAGACGAUGAUACGUAGCCGACCUGAGAGGGUGAUCGGCCACAUUGGGACUGAGACACGGCCCAAACUCCUACGGGAGGCAGCAGUAGGGAAUCUUCCGCAAUGGACGAAAGUCUGACGGAGCAACGCCGCGUGAGUGAAAGAAGGUUUUCGGAUCGUAAAACUCUGUUGUCAGAGAAGAACAAGUUGGAGAGUAACUGCUCCAGCCUUGACGGUAUCUGACCAGAAAGCCACGGCUAACUACGUGCCAGCCGCCGC